CCAGGCCUGCACCCUAAGCACAGCUCCUGGAUCCAGGAACUGCCUCUUCUUACGGCCGGGAGAGGGCGGCCGGAGAGGGCGAGAGCCCCGCCCAGGGUCACCCACCAAGCCAAGGAACCAGUGGGCAGCAUAAGGAGCAGCCAGAACUGGGCGCCAAGCAGCCUGGGUUCGAACCCCCGCGCUUCCCGGUCGCUAGCAGCAAGACCUCGGGAAAGUUACCCAACCACCGCGAGCCUCAGUUUUCCUUUUCGUUUCUCUGUUUGGUGAAGCCCUGAUGGGUGUGUCCCAGGCCCCGGCCCCGGCCCGCCGCCUGCCCGCUCC
rnacentral:lncRNA from 1 species